rnacentral:RNase_P_RNA from 1 species
GAAGCGGGCUAAACGAUCGCUGCUGUGGAGGUCUUCGUGACUGAAGCAGGGGAGGAAAGUCCGGGCUUCAAAGGGCAAGGUGCCAGAUAACGUCUGGGCGGCGUGAGCCGACGGCUAGUGCAGCAGAGAGUAGACCGCCUUGAUAUGCUUGCAUAUCAGGGUAAGGGUGAAAGGGUGCGGUAAGAGCGCACCGCAUGGCUGGUAACAGUACAUGGCUUGGUAAACCCCACCUGAAGCAAGACCAAAUAGGAAUCCUGAGGUACGGCCCGUACUGGAUUCGGGUAGGUUGCUGGAGCGUACGAGUGAUUGUACGCCUAGAGGAAUGAUCGUUCACGACAGAACCCGGCUUAUCGGCCCACUUCAUUC